rnacentral:rRNA from 1 species
CCAUGCCGCGUGCAGGAUGACGGCCCUAUGGGUUGUAAACUGCUUUUAUACGGGAAGAAACGCGCCCACGUGUGGGCGUCUGACGGUACCGUAAGAAUAAGGACCGGCUAACUCCGUGCCAGCAGCCGCGGUAAUACGGAGGGUCCGAGCGUUAUCCGGAAUCAUUGGGUUUAAAGGGUCCGUAGGCGGGCCUGUAAGUCAGGGGUGAAAGUUUGUGGCUCAACCAUAAAAUUGCCUUUGAUACUGCAGGUCUUGAGUCAUGGUGGGGUCGCCGGAACAUGUGGUGUAGCGGUGAAAUGCAUAGAUAUCACAUAGAACACCGAUCGCGAAGGCAGGUGGCCAACCAUGUACUGACGCUGAUGGACGAAAGCGUGGGUAGCGAACGGGAUUAGAUACCCCGGUAGUCCACGCCGUAAACGAUGGAUACUAGCUGUGGGGACUUCGGUCUCCGUGGCCAAGCGAAAGUGAUAAGUAUCCCACCUGGGGAGUACGUUCGCAAGAAUGAAACUCAAAGGAAUUGACGGGGGCCCGCACAAGCGGUGGAGCAUGUGGUUUAAUUCGAUGAUACGCGAGGAACCUUACCAGGGCUUAAAUGCAGGCUGCAUAAGCUAGAGAUAGCUUUUUCUUCGGACUGCCUGCAAGGUGCUGCAUGGUUGUCGUCAGCUCGUGCCGUGAGGUGUCAGGUUAAGU